UGGGAAUUUGGACAAUGGGCGAAAGCCUGAUCCAGCAAUGCCGCGUGUGUGAAGAAGGCCUUCGGGUUGUAAAGCACUUUUGUCCGGAAAGAAAUCCUUGGCUCUAAUACAGUCGGGGGAUGACGGUACCGGAAGAAUAAGCACCGGCUAACUACGUGCCAGCAGCCGCGGUAAUACGUAGGGUGCAAGCGUUAAUCGGAAUUACUGGGCGUAAAGCGUGCGCAGGCGGUUUGCUAAGACCGAUGUGAAAUCCCCGGGCUCAACCUGGGAACUGCAUUGGUGACUGGCAGGCUAGAGUAUGGCAGAGGGGGGUAGAAUUCCACGUGUAGCAGUGAAAUGCGUAGAGAUGUGGAGGAAUACCGAUGGCGAAGGCAGCCCCCUGGGCCAAUACUGACGCUCAUGCACGAAAAGCGUGGGGAGCAAAACAGGAUUUAGAUACCCUGGUAGUCCACGCCCUAAACGAUGUCAACUAGUUGUUGGGGAUUCAUUUCCUUAGUAACGUAGCUAACGCGUGAAGUUGACCGCCUGGGGAGUACGGUCGCAAGAUUAAAACUCAAAGGAAUUGACGGGGUCAU
rnacentral:rRNA from 1 species